UUUUUUUUUUUUUUGAGACAAGUUCUCACUCAUGGUGGAGUGCAGUGGUGCAAUCUCGGCUCACAGCAACCUCUGCCUCCCAGACUCAAGCAAUCCUCCCACCUCAGCCUCUGAGUAGCUGGAACUACAGGCUCACGCCACCACACUCAGCGCUUUUUUUUUUUUUUUUUUUUUUUUUGGAGACGGAGUCUUGCUCUGUCGCCCAACCUGGAGUGCAGUGGUGCGAUUUCACCUCACUGCAACCUCUGCCUCUCCAGUUCAAGCGAUUCUCCUGCCUCAGCCUCCCAAGCUGAAGCAAGAGGACCGCCUAAGCCCAGGAAGUAGAAGCUACAGUAAGCCAUGAUUGCACCACUGCCCUACAGCCUGGGCAACAAAGUGAUACCUGGUUUCAAAAAGAAAAAAAAGAAAAGAAUGUAGAAACUUCAAUCUUUACCUCAUGCCACACACAAAAGUUAACUUGAAAUGGAUCAAAGACCUAAAUACAAAAGCUGAAAAUUAUAAAACUUUACAAGAAAAUAUAAAAGAAAAUCUUUAUGAUGCUGAGGUAGGCAAAAAUAUUUUUAGACAAGACACAAAAAAUACAAAUCAUGAAGAAAAAGCCAGACUUCAAAAGAAUUGAAAAGUUCUGCCUUUCAAGACACUGUAAAGAAAAUGAAAAACCAAACUCAAGAUAGAUAGAUAGAUAAAGACAGACAGACAGACAGAUCAGACAGACAGACCGACAGACAGACAAACAGAUAUAUAGAUAGAUCUGACCAAAAAGAAAGUGUAUCCAGAAUACAUACAGUAAACUUUUACAAUAUAACUUUUUAAAAGCUAAUUUUAAAACAGCAAAAGAUUUGAACGUCAACUUCAGAAAGACAUGCUAAUGGCCAAUGAACAUGUAAAAAGAUGCACUACCUCAUUAGUCAUUGGGGAAAUACAAAAUAAAUUCACAAUGAGACAACAAUACACAGUUAGAAUGGUUAAAUAAAAAAUGCAGGCCAGCCAGACAUGGUGGCUCAUGCCUGUAAUCCCAACACUUUGGGAGGCCAAAGCAGGAGAAUCACUUGAGCCCAGGAGUUCAAGACCAGCCAAAGUAACAUAGUGAGACUCCGUAUUUGCAAAAAUAAAAUUUCUUUUUGCUUAGCCAGGCAUAGUGGCAUAUGCCUGUUGGCCCCGCUACACAGUGAACUAAGGCAGAAGGAUUGAGCGAGCCCCGGAGUUCAAGUCUGCAGUGAGCUAGGAUUGCACCACUUUACUCCAGCCUGGGUGACAGAGCAAGACCUUAUCUCAAAAACAAACAAACAAAUAAACAAUAACAACAAAAUACUUACACUAACCAUAUGACCCAGCAAUUCCACACGUAUUUACCCCACAGAAAUGAAAACAUAUGUCCACACAAAGACUUAUACACAAAUGUUCAUGGUAGCUUUAUUCAUAAUAGCCAAAAACUGAAAACCCAAAUGUCCACUACAUGUGAAUUGUGUUUAUCCAGACAACAGAAUACUAUGCAGCAAUAUUGAUGAAAACAACAUAGAUGAAUAUCAGAACAUGCUGAACAAAAGAAGUCUGACACAAAAGAGUACACAAUACCUGAUCCCAAUUACACAAAACUCUAGAAAUGAGUUUAUGGUGACAGGAGAUAAGAUGUUGUUGGGGAUUAGGGGUGAGGGAUAGACUGGGAGAUAAGAACACUUUUUGGAAUGAUGGAAAUGUUCUACACCCAGACCUAAACACUGGCUUCUAAAUACUCUUCUCACUUAAGAAGUCGUCAAGACUCCUCCUUGGAAAUCAUCAGAGAAAGCAUAAAAAUGAAGAGGGAAAGUAGACAGUAAGCCUAGAAAAACUUGUGCCACAAAGGAAGUGCUCAAAAAAUUAAUGGGGAUAUGUCAGAAAGGGGGAAAGGAAGAUGAAAGCACGCCAACAAAUAAGUAUAGAAAGAUGAUAGAAAUAGAAAAUCACCAUUUAUAAUCACAAAAAUAAUAACUGAUUCAGGCUAUAAUUAUCAAUGGAUACUAAAACCAUUGGAUUUAAGUUUGAUGGAGAACAGGAUGUAGAGAAUCAUGGCAGAAAACAGCUUACCAAAUCGUCAAACUAGCACCAACAAUAACUGGGCAAACUUGAUAUCAUGUGCCUCUUCUUGCAUUACACCGAAAUGGCUAAAGUAUCGCCUAUGUACUACUAGCUGAAUCAUGAGAAAGCUGUUGGACAAAACUAAAUUGAGGGAUAUUCUGUAAAACAACUGGCCUGGAUACUUCAAAAACUAUCAAUGUCAUAAAAGACAAAUAAUUAGUUUAAGGAACUGUCCUAGAUAAAUCAAAAGAGAUUUAAAGAGAUACAGUAAGUAAAUAUACCACUUCCUCCUUGAUUGGGUCCUCAUUUUGUAAACAGCUAUAAGCCAGAGGCAAUGGCUCAUGCCUAUAAUCCCAGAACUCUG
rnacentral:lncRNA from 1 species